UACGGAGGAUCCAAGCGUUAUCCGGAAUCAUUGGGUUUAAAGGGUCCGUAGGCGGUUUUUUAAGUCAGAGGUGAAAUCCUGCAGCUCAACUGUAGAAUUGCCUUUGAUACUGAAAGACUUGAGUUAUUGUGAAGUGGUUAGAAUGUGUGGUGUAGCGAUGAAAUGCAUAGAUAUCACACAGAAUACCAAUUGCGAAGGCAGAUCACUAACAAUAUACUGACGCUCAGGGACGAAAGCGUGGGUAGCGAACAGGAUUAGAUACCCUGGUAGUCCACGCCGUAAACGAUGGAUACUAGCUGUAUGUCUACCUUAGGUAGAUGUGUGGCUAAGCGAAAGUGAUAAGUAUCCCACCUGGGGAGUACGAUCGCAAGAUUGAAACUCAAAGGAAUUGACGGGGGCCCGCACAAGCGGUGGAGCAUGUGGUUUAAUUCGAUGAUACGCGAGGAACCUUACCAGGACUUAAAUGUAACGGGACAGAUCUAGAGAUAGAUCCUUCUUCGGACUCAUUACAAGGUGCUGCAUGGUUGUCGUCAGCUCGUGCCGUGAGGUGUCAGGUUAAGUCCUAUAACGAGCGCAACCCCCAUCGUUAGUUGCCAACGAGUAGUGUCGGGAACUCUAACGAAACUGCCGGUGCAAACCGUGAGGAAGGUGGGGAUGACGUCAAAUCAUCACGGCCCUUACAUCCUGGGCUACACACGUGCUACAAUGGUCAGUACAGAGGGCUGCCACCUGGUGACAGGGAGCAAAUCCAUAAAGCUGGCCUCAGUUCGGAUUGUAGUCUGCAACUCGACUACAUGAAGUUGGAAUCGCUAGUAAUCGCGUAUCAGCUACGACGCGGUGAAUACGUUCCCGGGCCU
rnacentral:rRNA from 1 species